rnacentral:misc_RNA from 1 species
UCUCCGUUGGUGAACCAGCGGAGGGAUCAUUACAGGACUCGCAAGACUCCUUCACCCUGUGAACCUCACUACCAGCACGUUGCUUCGGCGGGUGUCCCGGCGGGGGUUUUUCCUCGCCGGGGCGCACAGACCGCCGGCAGCCUACUAUACUCUGUCUCUUUGCGUUGGCAUCUCGAGAAAAAACAAACAAGUUAAAACUUUCAACAACGGAUCUCUUGGUUCUG